GACGAACGCUGGCGGCGUGCUUAACACAUGCAAGUCGAACGGAAAGGCCCAGCUUGCUGGGUGCUCGAGUGGCGAACGGGUGAGUAACACGUGGGUGAUCUGCCUCUAACUUCGGGAUAAGCUUGGGAAACUGGGUCUAAUACCGGAUAGGACAAUCGUUUAGUGUCGGUUGUGGAAAGUUUUUUCGGUUAGGGAUGAGCCCGCGGCCUAUCAUCUUGUUGGUGGGGUAAUGGCCUACCAAGGCGUCGACGGGUAGCCGGCCUGAGAGGGUGGACGGCCACAUUGGGACUGAGAUACGGCCCAGACUCCUACGGGAGGCAGCAGUGGGGAAUAUUGCACAAUGGGCGCAAGCCUGAUGCAGCGACGCCGCGUGGGGGAUGACGGCCUUCGGGUUGUAAACCUCUUUCGACAGGGACGAAGCUUUGGUGACGGUACCUGUAGAAGAAGCACCGGCUAACUACGUG
rnacentral:rRNA from 1 species